rnacentral:ncRNA from 2 species
CGACCGGACUGAGCGGCCGCGUGAUAUGUUGCCGAAAGGUAUUAUCAUGAGGAAAGUCCGGGCUUCACAGGGCAGGAUAACGGAUAACAUCCGCCGAAGGUGACUUCCGGGAUAGUGCAACAGAAAUAGACCGCCGCAGAAAUGCGGUAAGGAUGGAAAGGCGAGGUAAGAGCUCACCGUCGCCG